AGGAGAUGGAGGAAGGGAUUGGCUUAGAUGACUGGUAAGAUCCCUCCCAAGUUACAAAUUCUGUGUGUCCUAUGAGAGGUAGACAUGUCAAAGGAAAAAAAAAGCUAAACAAAUAAAAAGAAAACACCGAAUAAGCUGCAAAUGGUGGAGAGGAGGAGAAAAAUGAUCAUCUCUUGAGUGUUUACUAUGAGCCAGAUGAACCCUCCUGGUAACCUUAACAGACUCUCAGACAAGAAGUUUGAUAUGAUUCAUAUGAAGCUCGAAAUUACAUUAAAGAAUCCCGUUUGCCACAGCAAGAUGCUCACACCACGAGGGCUCACAGGAACUGGAACCGGAACUGACUAAGAGAAGAACAAAUCCAUAUCUCUCAUCUGCUCUCUCCUGGGACUGCUCCCAGUGGGAGCAAAACUAAGAAUUUUAUCCACACUA